UACGUAGGGUGCGAGCGUUGUCCGGAAUUACUGGGCGUAAAGAGCUCGUAGGUGGUUUGUCGCGUCUGCUGUGAAAACCUAAGGCUCAACCUUGGGCUUGCAGUGGGUACGGGCAGACUAGAGUGCGGUAGGGGUGACUGGAAUUCCUGGUGUAGCGGUGAAAUGCGCAGAUAUCAGGAGGAACACCGGUGGCGAAGGCGGGUCUCUGGGCAACAACUGACGCUGAGGAGCGAAAGCGUGGGGAGCGAACAGG
rnacentral:rRNA from 1 species